rnacentral:rRNA from 1 species
AACGAACGCUGGCGGCAUGCCUAACACAUGCCAGUCGAACGAGACCUUCGGGUCUAGUGGCGCACGGGUGCGUAACGCGUGGGAACCUGCCCUUAGGUUCGGAAUAACUCCCCGAAAGGGGUGCUAAUACCGGAUAAUGUCUUCGGACCAAAGAUUUAUCGCCGUUGGAUGGGCCCGCGUUGGAUUAGCUAGUUGGUAGGGUAAAAGCCUACCAAGGCGACGAUCCAUAGCUGGUCUGAGAGGAUGAUCAGCCACACUGGGACUGAGACACGGCCCAGACUCCUACGGGAGGCAGCAGUGGGGAAUAUUGGACAAUGGGCGAAAGCCUGAUCCAGCCAUGCCGCGUGAGUGAUGAAGGCCUUAGGGUUGUAAAGCUCUUUUACCCGGGAUGAUAAUGACAGUACCGGGAGAAUAAGCUCCGGCUAACUCCGUG